AAUAUUGGACAAUGGGGGCAACCCUGCUCCAGCCAUGCCGCGUGUGUGAAGAAGGUCUUCGGAUUGUAAAGCACUGUAAGUUGGGAGGAAGGGCUUUCGGUUAAUACCCUGAAGUUUUGACGUUACCAACAGAAUAAGCACGGUCUAACACGUUGCGGGCAGCCGCGGUAAUACAGAGGGUGCAAGCGUUAAUCGGAAUUACUUGGCGUAAAGCGCGCGUAGGUGGUUCAGUAAGAUGGGUGUGAAAUCCCCGGGCUUAACCUGGGAACUGCUUUCAUAACUGCUGAGCUAGAGUACGGUAGAGGGUAGUGGAAUUUCCUGUGUAGCGGUGAAAUGCGUAGAUAUAGGAAGGAACACCAGUGGCGAAGGCGACUACCUGGACUGAUACUGACACUGAGGUGCGAAAGCGUGGGGAGCAAACA
rnacentral:rRNA from 1 species